CACGUAGGGACCAAGCGUUGUCCGGAUUCAUUGGGCGUAAAGAGCUCGUAGGCGGCUCAGUAAGUCGGGUGUGAAACCUCCAGGCUCAACCUGGAGACGCCACCCGAUACUGCUGUGGCUAGAGUCCAGUAGGGGAGCGUGGAAUUCCUGGUGUAGCGGUGAAAUGCGCAGAUAUCAGGAGGAACACCAGCGGCGAAGGCGGGCUUCUGGUUGACUUCUGACGCUGAGGUGCGAAAGCUAGGGGAGCGAACGGG
rnacentral:rRNA from 1 species